GAUGAACGCUGGCGGCGUGCUUAACACAUGCAAGUCGAACGAAGAUGCCGGAGUGCUUGCACUUUGGCAGACUGAGUGGCGGACGGGUGAGUAACGCGUGGGUAACCUGCCUUAUACAGGGGGAUAACAGUUGGAAACGACUGCUAAUACCGCAUAAGCGCACGGUAUCGCAUGAUACAGUGUGAAAAACUCCGGUGGUAUAAGAUGGACCCGCGUCUGAUUAGCUAGUUGGUGAGGUAACGGCCCACCAAGGCGACGAUCCAUAGCCGACCUGAGAGGGUNACCGGCCACAUUGGGACUGAGACACGGCCCAAACGUCCUACGGGAGGCAGCAGUGGGGAAUAUUGCACAAUGGGCGAAGCCUGAUGCAGCGACGCCGCGUGAGCGAAGAAGUAUUCGGUAUGUAAAGCUCGUAUCAGCAGGGAAGAUAA
rnacentral:rRNA from 1 species